AUGGGGAAGUGUUUUGAGGAGGGGGAAAGAUGGCAGGGAGAGUGGGAAGGGAAGUAUGAAGGGUGGAGGUGGGAACCUGUAUGCAGCAUUCACCUUGGUGAAUGUUUCUUAGGUGUCACAAACAAACACGUGCUGAACAAAAGAGGGCGCAGGAAGGGCUGGUGUUGGAAGGGGCCCCAGGAGCACGAGCAGCAGGUGCUAAUGGGGCAGGCUUCUUCGACACAAGGAGGUGGAGGUGGCCGUGUCCAGGAGGACCUGCUGACCGCCAGGCUGCAGAAGCUCCCAAGCCCAGGCUCCCUGGGGACAGCCAGGUCCCUUUUCAGCACUGACCCAACACUCAGCGGAGCCCAGCCAGCCUGGAGUCCAUGGCCCUCGCUUCCCAGAUCUUGCCUCAUCCUCCCCAGCCCAGCGCCUGUUCUGUCCUCCUGCGUUCUGACGUCUGGGGGGGCCAGUUCAUGGAUGUCACUCAACACUGACAGAAAGAUGCACCUGCCUUUGCCAGGCCAACCUGUAGCACAGUGAUGUAAAAGGAUGUGUGGUGGCCAGCCACUGUGCAGCGUGGCAGUCUGUGGUCAGGAGCACAGACACCUCCCUCUUUUGUCUCACUAGCUGGAUAAUGUGACACAUGUCAGUUCAACUCAAAACCUCAGUUUCCCCAUCUGCAAAGCUGGAACAUCAAUGACUGUGUGUGUCUUAUAGUAUCUUCAUGAGGAUUCAAAACACUACUACAUAAAGUAUUGACAUGCAUUAGGAAAGAGACAUUUGAGUCAUUUGUAGGAAAAUGGAUCACCUUGAGAUCAUAAUGAAAAGUGAAAUAAAUCAGACACACAAGCUGAAAUAUCACAUGAUUCCUCUUACGUGAGAGACCCAAAGUAUAAAUAAAG
rnacentral:lncRNA from 1 species